AUUGAACGCUGGCGGCAGGCCUAACACAUGCAAGUCGAGCGGCAGCGGAAAAGUAGCUUGCUACUUUUGCCGGCGAGCGGCGGACGGGUGAGUAAUGCCUGGGAAAUUGCCCAGUCGAGGGGGAUAACAGUUGGAAACGACUGCUAAUACCGCAUACGCCCUACGGGGGAAAGCAGGGGACCUUCUGGCCUUGCGCGAUUGGAGAUGCUUGGGUGGGAUUAGCUAGUUGGUGAGGUAAUGGCUCACCAAGGCGACGAUCCCUAGCUGGUCUGAGAGGAUGAUCAGCCACACUGGGACUGAGACACGGUCCAGACUCCUACGGGAGGCAGCAGUGGGGAAUAUUGCACAAUGGGGGAAACCCUGAUGCAGCCAUGCCGCGUGUGUGAAGAAGGCCUUCGGGUUGUAAAGCACUUUCAGCGAGGAGGAAAGGUUGAUGCCUAAUACGUAUCAACUGUGACGUUACUCGCAGAAGAAGCACCGGCUAACUCCGUGCCAGCCGCCGCAGUAAAAC
rnacentral:rRNA from 1 species